GCGCAAGUCUGUACCAGUCAUGGUUUAGCUCUUCGAGGAUCGAAUCGUUUCCGAGCUUGUGCUGCUGAUCGAGGGCUAAAAUCGACAGUAAAGUUCUACUACUGGUAACCACACCAAAAGCGGAUUACCAUGCCACUCCUAGAACGCAUCGCAAGAUACUUAAAGUUACUAAAAAUGGGAUUUUUAAAUUACGUUUGCGUGAUAUUCGCACGCGGAAAUAAAGCGACCGAUGACUCACGAAGAAGUUGGAUAUAGUGCUCGUGAAAUUCUCCACCGGCUUUGAUUU